GGUAUGGGAUGAGCUUGCGUCCGAUUAGCUAGUUGGCGGGGCAACGGCCCACCAAGGCGACGAUCGGUAGCCGGCCUGAGAGGGUGAUCGGCCACAUUGGGACUGAGAUACGGCCCAGACUCCUACGGGAGGCAGCAGUAGGGAAUAUUGCACAAUGGGGGAAACCCUGAUGCAGCAACGCCACGUGUGGGAAGAAGCAUUUCGGUGUGUAAACCACUGUCAUGAGGGAAUAAGGCCCGCCUUCGGACGGGAUUGAAUGUACCUUGAGAGGAAGCACCGGCAAACUUCGUGCCAGCAGCCGCGGUAAUACGGGGGGUGCAAGCGUUGUUCGGAAUUACUGGGCGUAAAGGGAGCGUAGGCGGAGAUUCAAGCGGAUUGUACAAUCCCGGGGCCCAACCCCGGCUCUGUAGUCCGAACUGGAUCUCUUGGAUAGUUCAGGGGCAGGC
rnacentral:rRNA from 1 species